rnacentral:misc_RNA from 1 species
CCAAAUUUUAAAGGUAUCUAGUUUACUAGACGCCUGGGUAUUGAAAUAUAUACCACAUCUACCUUGUGUGCAAUGUAAAUUGUAUUGAUAGAUUCUUCAUCUGGGUUUUUUUACUUGGGUGGUUUAUCUAUAUAAACAUUUUAAGUUUUCUUAAGUCUGAAUAGUUUUUUUACAGAUUGAUAUUUUGCUUUGGUAAAAUAUUUAAAAUUGUUAAAA